GACAGAGGGGGCAAGCGUUGCUCGGAAUCACUGGGCGUAAAGGGCGCGUAGGCGGCCUGGCAAGUGGAUGGUGAAAUCCCUCGGCUUAACCGAGGAACUGCCAUCCAGACUGCUUGGCUUGAGACCGGGAGAGGUGAGUGGAAUUCCCAGUGUAGCGGUGAAAUGCGUAGAUAUUGGGAGGAACACCAGUGGCGAAGGCGGCUCACUGGACCGGUACUGACGCUGAGGCGACGAAAGCGUGGGAGCAACGGGG
rnacentral:rRNA from 1 species